UCGGAGGUGGGGUUCACGACCGCCACCUCAACCUCUGCAACUCCAAUUGUGAUCGGGUCGGCAGAAAUUGGGCGGUGGGAGGUGAUGGAGGCUGGUAAGUUUCAAUUGGACGAUUUCGUCUACUUCAUAAUUUAUUUAACAAAUUGUAUUUUCUUAAAUAUUUUUCAGAAUGAAUAAAGCACCAUUUCAUGUAA